GAUGAACGCUGACAGAAUGCUUAACACAUGCAAGUCUUUGGCGAAGCUGUGCUUGCACAGCCUAGCCAAGGCGGACGGGUGAGUAACGCGUAAGGGACUUGCCCUGCAGUCAGGGAUAACAGACGGAAACGACUGAUAAAACCUGGUAAAGUCAGGCGGACUCAUGUCCAGCCUGAUGAAAGGGAAUGCUGCAGGAGAGCCUUGCGUCCUAUUAGCUUGUUGGUGGGGUAACGGCCCACCAAGGCGAUGAUAGGUAGCCGGCCUGAGAGGGUGGACGGCCACAAGGGGACUGAGAUACGGCCCUUACUCCUACGGGAGGCAGCAGUGGGGAAUAUUGGACAAUGGGGGCAACCCUGAUCCAGCAAUUCUGUGUGCACGAUGAAGGUCUUCGGAUUGUAAAGUGCUUUCAGCAGGGAAGAAAAAAAUGACGGUACCUGCAGAAGAAGCGACGGCUAAAUACGUGCCAGCAGCCGCGGUAAUACGUAUGUCGCGAGCGUUAUCCGGAAUUAUUGGGCAUAAAGGGCAUCUAGGCGGCCGGAUAAGUCUGGGGUGAAAACUUGCGGCUCAACCGCAAGCCUGCCCUGGAAACUAUGCGGCUAGAGUGCUGGAGAGGUGGACGGAACUGCACGAGUAGAGGUGAAAUUCGUAGAUAUGUGCAGGAAUGCCGAUGAUGAAGAUAGUUCACUGGACGGCAACUGACGCUGAAGUGCGAAAGCUAGGGGAGCAAACAGG
rnacentral:rRNA from 1 species